rnacentral:rRNA from 1 species
AGAGUUUGAUCCUGGCUCAGGACGAACGCUGGCGGCGUGCCUAACACAUGCAAGUCGAACGGACGGAACCAUUUAGGUGGGGAAGUUAGUGGCGAACGGGUGAGUAACACGUAGAUAAUCUGUCCUAUAUUGGGGGACAGCCCAGCGAAAGUUGGAUUAAUACCGCAUAUAGCUUAUUUAUCGCAUGGUAAGUAAGUGAAAGAAUUAUUGAUGUAGGAGGAGUCUGCGGCACAUUAGCUAGUAGGUGAGGUAAGAGCUUACCUAGGCGACGAUGUGUAGCCGGUCUGAGAGGAUGAACGGCCACAAUGGAACUGAGAUACGGUCCAUACUCCUACGGGAGGCAGCAGUGGGGAAUAUUGCACAAUGGGGGGAACCCUGAUGCAGCAACGCCGCGUGAGUGAAGAAGGUUUUCGGAUUGUAAAGCUCUGUGAGCAGGGAAGAGAGAGGACAGUACCUGCAGAGGAAGUCACGGCUAACUACGUGCCAGCAGCCGCGGUAAUACGUAGGUGGCAAGCGUUGUUCGGAAUAACUGGGCGUAAAGGAUGCGUAGGCGGUUAGAUAAGUUAUAUGUUAAAUAUAUGGGCUUAACCUGUAGAAAGCAUAUAAAACUGUGUAACUAGAGUGCAGGAGAGGUAAGUGGAAUUCCUAGUGUAGCGGUGAAAUGCGUAGAGAUUAGGAAGAACACCAGUGGCGAAGGCGACUUACUGGACUGUAACUGACGCUGAGGCAUGAGAGCAUGGGGAGCAAACAGGAUUAGGUACCCUGGUAGUCCAUGCUGUAAACGAUGGGUACUAGGUGUAGGUUAUGAAGGUAAUCUGUGCCGUCGCAAACGCAAUAAGUACCCCGCCUGGGGAGUACGAUCGCAAGAUUAAAACUCAAAGGAAUUGACGGGGACCCGCACAAGCAGCGGAGCAUGUGGUUUAAUUCGAAGCAACGCGAAGAACCUUACCUAAAUUUGACAUACCUUGAAUUACCUUGUAAAGAGGGAAGCUCUUCGGAGCAAGGAUACAGGUAGUGCAUGGUUGUCGUCAGCUCGUGUCGUGAGAUGUUGGGUUAAGUCCCGCAACGAGCGCAACCCUUGUUGUUAAUUGCUAACAGGAAAGCUGAGCACUUUAGCGAGACAGCCUAGGUUAACUAGGAGGAAGGUGGGGAUGACGUCAAAUCAUCAUGCCCCUUACAUUUAGGGCUACACACGUGCUACGAUGGCGAGAACAAAGAGAGGCAAGCUAGUGAUAGUGAGCAAAGCUUAGAAAACUCGUCUCAGUUCGGAUUGCAGGCUGAAACUCGCCUGUAUGAAGAUGGAGUUGCUAGUAAUCGCGAAUCAGGAUGUCGCGGUGAAUACGUUCCCGGGUCUUGUACACACCGCCCGUCACACCAUGAGAGUUGGCAACACCCGAAGCCUGUGAGCUAACCGAAAGGAGGCAGCAGUCUAAGGUGGGGUCAGCGAUUGGGGUGAAGUCGUAACAAGGUAACCGUA